GACAGGGAGAGGAAGAAGAGAAAGAUCCGCCAUGCUGGAAAAAGGAGAACUAAGAUGCCACACCCGAGAAGCUCAGGACAGAGAACAUAGCCGCCAUAUUGGAGUAAGGGGAUCCCAGCCCAAGAUGGUCUGGGUAUAGGGCAGCAAAGAUGGAAAACAGUUAGGGACUCCAUCCAAUAAAGGCAAAUAAAGAGAGCCUGAAAGUAUAGCUUGGCACCUACGCAGCAAGCCACUCCUGUCUACAGUGCUCAUGAACCUUCCAGAAUCAUGGAGAAGACCUGCCGUGCAUGGCCCUUAUUGCAAGUAAGGAAAUGAAUGCAAGUCUUUCCCAGUGGUAUUCCCCAUGCCCAUCCAACACUUCCCUCUGUGAAGUGAAUGAACAGAUGAAUGGAUGGAUAGAUGAAGUGGGAAUAUUUUGACCACAUUCUAAUAUUCGAUCCCCACAGCAAACCUGUGAGAUCAAUGACUAUAAUAGCUAACACUUGCACUGUAAUUACCACGCCAGCCACCAUCCUAAACAUACAAUACAUACAUACAUACAUACAUACAUACAUACAUAUAUACUCCUUUAGCUCCCCAGAACCCUAUGGAAUAAAGACUGCUAUUAUCUCCAUUUAGCAAAUGAAGGAAUUCACGGAGGCAGGUUUGCUUAUAGGAGGCAAACCUGGCUCUUGGCUAGAAACUGGCCAGCAUUACACUGCUUCUUUACUAUACACUUAACAAAGCAGAAAUCAGAGGGUCACAAUAUUAAUUUAAACGACAUUAGACAAUACAUGAACACAAACUAAACCAAGGGCUAUGUUCCUUGGUCACUGUUAAAUGGCACAGCCAAAAUGCAAAACCCGAGCAUCCAGCUCUGACUCCAUACUCUCAGUCCCUAAACACACACAUGUAAUUGGGCCACCCUGUAAAUAUCUAAGAAGAGCCAAAGAAAGAUUGGGAGGGGAGCUGAGAUCACGGGUGCCGAUUUCUUCAUAUGCUUGCCAGACUGAAAGUGUUUCGAGGCCCAAGGUGGAAAGAAAAAAAAAAGAAGAAAGCAAACCUGGGAAACACAGAAUUCAUUCAGCCCCUUGUAGUCCCGCACUUUGGUCACAGAGGAAACAUCCCCUGACAGCCUGGUGUUCGAAUCUAAUGUGGUCAAAGCAAACUAUGGAGCCGGACCUAUGCAAAUCUCUACAGAAACUCGAGGUUAGAUGUAUUUUACACUAAGUAACACUCAGGGGCCAUCUUCUUGGGAUUGUACUUUAAUAGAAAAUAUGCCAGAGAGGCUAGGGAAAAUUAAGAAAAAUAUAAAUUUAAGUCAGAGAUCGGAAUGGUAAUUUGUGUGAGGGGGAAGAAAACCACAAGCGCUCCCCCCCUCACACUGCCUUGAAAGCGUGGAUGAUUUCAGAAUCCCACCCUACGAGAAAGCAAGGAGAUGCAGGGUUUGGAGUUAAGAAACGUAAGUGUCUCCAGUCCCCAGCUGCACAUUAAACUAAUGUCAAGUUGAAGGAAAUCGUAUUGCUGCUGAGGCUGGAGAAAGAUGUCGGAGUGCAAUAAUUAAUGGUGCAGGUUUGAAGGAGAAAGGCUGCCAGGCUAAUGGAACCUGAAGAGAGGUAAAACUCCUCCUGUCCAGAGACAAGACACUUUCCCACCCAACAUAGGAGAAAAGCCUUCCCUUAAAGUAGAGAGGAACCCUUCGAAACCUUCCCUGUGAAAGCCAGGCCUCGGUUGACUUGUGUGGGACUUGCAGGUCACCACCCAUGUGAGUGGCAAGCAGGCCUUGCUGACAGGACAAGCCCUGAAACCAGACCUGGCCAUUUCUGGUUCUCUAUCAAAAUGAAACCAAAAAGUUCUUCAACCCCAUGAAAAUAAGCGGGAGAAACCCUGUCUCGAAAAACCAAAACCAAAAAAAAGAGAGAGAAAGAGCGAGAGAAGAAAAUAAGUGGGAAAAAGUCACUCCCUGGACAAGGUUUCAAAGCUCACAGCCUUUUAAUAAAGCCAAUGUCUAUGAAAAGGGUUAACCUGUUGUUUAGAAAUGGAAAAUUUUGUUGCUGAAUAAAAAAGUGACUGUAAUUGAAAAAAAAA
rnacentral:lncRNA from 1 species